rnacentral:rRNA from 1 species
GGGGAAUAUUGGACAAUGGGCGCAAGCCUGAUCCAGCCAUGCCGCGUGAGUGAUGAAGGCCUUAGGGUUGUAAAGCUCUUUCACCGGUGAAGAUAAUGACGGUAACCGAAGAAAAAGCCCCGGCUAACUUCGUGCCAGCAGCCGCGGUAAUACGAAGGGGGCUAGCGUUGUUCGGAAUUACUGGGCGUAAAGCGCACGUAGGCUGAUAUUUAAGUCAGGGGUGAAAUCCCGGGGCUCAACCCCGGAACUGCCUUUGAUACUGGGUAUCUUGAGUAUGGAAGAGGUCAGUGGAAUUGCGAGUGUAGAGGUGAAAUUCGUAGAUAUUCGCAGGAACACCAGUGGCGAAGGCGGCUGACUGGUCCAUUACUGACGCUGAGGUGCGAAAGCGUGGGGAGCAAAC